AUUGAACGCUGGCGGCAGGCCUAACACAUGCAAGUCGAACGAGUGGCGGACGGGUGAGUAAUGUCUGGGAAACUGCCCGAUGGAGGGGGCUAACUACUGGAAACGGUAGCUAAUACCGCAUACCAUCGGAUGUGCCCAGAGGGGAUUAGCUAGUAGGUGGGGUAAUGGCUCAACUAGGCGACGAGCCCUAGCUGGUCUGAUAGGGUGACCAUCCACACUGGGACUGAGACACGGUCCAGACUCCUACGGGAGGCAGCAGUGGGGAAUAUUGCACAAGGGGGGCAACCCUGAUGCAGCCAUGCCGCGUGUAUGAAGAAGGCCUUCGGGUUGUAAAGUACUUUCAGCUGGGAGGCGUUACUCGCAGAAGAAGCACCGGCUAACUCCGUGCCAGCAGCCGCGGUAAUAC
rnacentral:rRNA from 1 species